rnacentral:rRNA from 1 species
AAUCAACGCUGGCGGCGUGCCUCAGACAUGCAAGUCGAACGCGAAAGUUCCCUUCGGGGAGCAAGUAGAGUGGCGCACGGGUGAGUAACACGUAGGUAAUUUGCCUUCGGGUGGGGAAUAACAGUCGGAAACGACUGCUAAUACCGCAUAAUGCAGCGGCUCGACAUCGAGACAGUUGUUAAAGCGGGGGAUCCCUCGGGACCUCGCGCCUGAAGAGAAGCCUGCGGCAGAUUAGCUAGUUGGUGAGGUAAUGGCCCACCAAGGCUACGAUCUGUAACCGGCCUGAGAGGGCGGUCGGUCACACUGACACUGACAUACGGGUCAGACUCC